AAAGUCGUAACAAGGUUUCCGUAGGUGAACCUGCGGAAGGAUCAUUACCGGCAGCGCUCGUGCGGGGUGUCGCUAGCGGAGGCCUCUCGGGGCUCCCGUGCUCGCCUCGUCCCGCCGGGCGUCUCGCUACCACCCCUACCUAUUCGUACCUACGUUACCUCCCAUCGGUGGGGACGCUCGCCGAUGGGAUUCCCCCACCUCGUCACACCUUUCUGUUAACCCACCUUCUGAACCAAACCAACCUCUUACAACUUUCAACAAUGGAUCUCUUGGCUCUG
rnacentral:misc_RNA from 1 species